rnacentral:rRNA from 1 species
CAGUCGCCGCGGUAAUACGUAGGGGGCAAGCGUUAUCCGGAAUUACUGGGUGUAAAGGGAGCGUAGACGGUUAAACAAGUCUGAAGUGAAAUGCCGGGGCUCAACCCCGGAGCUGCUUUGGGAACUGUAGAACUGGAGUGUCGGAGGGGUAAGCGGAAUUCCCAGUGUAGCGGUGAAAUGCGUAGAUAUUGGGAGGGACACCGGCGGCGAAGGCGGCUUACUGGACGACAACUGACGUUGAGGCUCGAAGGCGUGGGUAGCAAACAGGAUUAGAUACCCCGGUAGUCCCUGUCUCUUAUAC